UUCAAUUUAACUACUCAACCAGUACUAAAACGACGUACUAGGACCAAUACCCAACUGGAUAUGAGCUGUAAAUUUCAGUUGGGGUGACCUCGGAGCACAAACAAACCUCCGAAUGAUAAUAACUAAGACUUUACCAGUAUAAGCAAAAAUCAUUUAUUGACCCAAACUUACUCUGAGCAACGGAAUAAGUUACCCUAGGGAUAACAGCCCAAUCCUAUUACAGAGUCCAUAUCGACAAUAGGGUUUACAACCUCGAUGUUGGAUCAGGAUAUCCCAAUGGUGCAACCGCUAUUAAUGGUUCGUUUGUUCAACGAUUAAAAUCCUACGUGAUCUGAGUUCAGACCGGAGUAAUCCCGGUCGGUUUCUAUCU
rnacentral:ncRNA from 1 species